UACGUAGGUGGCAAGCGUUGUCCUGAUUUACUGGGCGUAAAGAGCGCGCAGGCGGUCGUAUAAGUCGAAUGUGAAAGCCCCCGGCUCAACUGGGGAGGGUCACUCGAUACUGUUCGACUCGAAGGCAGGAGAGGGAAGUGGAAUUCCGGGUGUAGUGGUGAAAUGCGUAGAUAUCCGGAGGAACACCAGUGGCGAAGGCGGCUUUCUGGGUCUUACCUGACGCUGAGGAACGAAAGCUAGGGGAGCGAACGGG
rnacentral:rRNA from 1 species